rnacentral:rRNA from 1 species
GCGCAGCAGUCGAGAAUACUUCACACUGCGCGAAAGCGCGAUGAGGGAAUCCCAAGUGCUUGCACGUAAGUGUAAGCUGUUUCUCUGUCUAAAAAGCAGAGAGAGUAAGGGCUGGGUAAGACGGGUGCCAGCCGCCGCGGUAAUACCUGCAGCUCAAGUGGUGGCCGCUAUUAUUGGGCCUAAAACGUCCGUAGCCGGUCUAGUAAAUGCCUGGGUAAAUCGUGAGGCUUAACCUUACGAAUUCCGGGUAGACUGCUAGACUUGAGACCGGGAGAGGCUAGAGGUACUCCUGGGGUAGAGGUGAAAUUCUGUAAUCCUAGGGGACCGACCAGUGGCGAAGGCGUCUAGCUAGAACGGGUCUGACGGUGAGGGACGAAGCCCUGGGGCGCAAACCGGAUUAGAUACCCCCGUAGU